rnacentral:rRNA from 1 species
GAUGAACGCUGGCGGCGUGCCUAAUACAUGCAAGUCGAGCGAACGGACGAGAAGCUUGCUUCUCUGAUGUUAGCGGCGGACGGGUGAGUAACACGUGGAUAACCUACCUAUAAGACUGGGAUAACUUCGGGAAACCGUAGCUAAUACCGGAUAAUAUUUUGAACCGCAUGGUUCAAAAGUGAAAGACGGUCUUGCUGUCACUUAUAGAUGGAUCCGCGCUGCAUUAGCUAGUUGGUAAGGUAACGGCUUACCAAGGCAACGAUGCAUAGCCGACCUGAGAGGGUGAUCGGCCACACUGGAACUGAGACACGGUCCAGACUCCUACGGGAGGCAGCAGUAGGGAAUCUUCCGCAAUGGGCGAAAGCCUGACGGAGCAACGCCGCGUGAGUGAUGAAGGUCUUCGGAUCGUAAAACUCUGUUAUUAUGGAAGAACAUAUGUGUAAGUAACUGUGCACAUCUUGACGGUACCUAAUCAGAAAGCCACGGCUAACUACGUG